UACGGAGGAUCCAAGCGUUAUCCGGAAUCAUUGGGUUUAAAGGGUCCGUAGGCGGUUUAAUAAGUCAGUGGUGAAAGCCCAUCGCUCAACGGUGGAACGGCCAUUGAUACUGUUAGACUUGAAUUAUUAGGAAGUAACUAGAAUAUGUAGUGUAGCGGUGAAAUGCUUAGAGAUUACAUGGAAAUACCAAUUGCGAAGGCAGGUUACUACUAAUGGAUUGACGCUGAUGGACGAAAGCGUGGGUAGCGAACAGG
rnacentral:rRNA from 1 species